AGCCUCUAAAUUUCAUUGAAUCUUUUAUAUAACAAAACCCUAACUUCAUUCACUCAAACCCUAUUCCUGAAAAAGAAAAGAGAGUGAAAAUACUGAAGUUUUAAAAUGGGUCUGUUCAGCAAAGCAGCGACGAGGUUCCGUCAAGCUUAUCAGAAGCUGAAAUUCAAGUUGGGGUUGAAUUUGUUGGUAUGGGUGGUGUUCAGCCUAAGAUGCAUGGGCUGGAAUCGCAAGCUGAAAGGUUGAAGGAUGGUGGUCACGAUGGAGUUGAAUGAUGUUUAAGCUGAAGGAUUGUUUCGUAGGAAAUGUUGUUUAUUUUGCUUUUAUUUCGAGAUGUUGGCAUGUCAUGAACUAAUGUUUUAAGAAUAUUUUAGCUUUUAACUUUUGAACUUCGAAAAUGGGCUAUGUUACUAUGAAUUUUAUUUAAGAUCCAAAUUUGUGGUUGAAUUUCUUUUUGCUAUUACGUACCUGCAGCUC